CAGCUGCUUGUCUUCUAUGGUCGAGAGUAGGCGUUUUGCCACGAUCCCCUUGCUCACUCCCUGCAUUUUCAAAGAUUUGCAGAAGAUGCAAUACAAGGUGGAAAAAUAAAUUAGCUCUUAUUCAGUUAUUUGUAGGGAUGUUUUCCAAUUCUCUCUUCAUGAGUUGAACUGAGAACACAGUCAACAGAUGUAGAAACCAUCAAUUAUGAAUGCCUUAUAAUGAAUCAUGAUGAAAAUGAAGCUAAUUGCCAAAACGGCAACUUUCAAACAAUAUAAGCACAUAAAAUGGUAAACUGGGAAACGGAGACUGUAAUAACAAGUAACAAGCUAAGUGAGUCUGAAGCAGGUGGAAGAAUGGUUAUGUGAUACAAACCUGAGGUUUAACCUCCACAAUGUUCUGUCCACUCUUGACGGUGACAGGUUCAUUGGCCAAGACGCUCUCAA
rnacentral:lncRNA from 1 species